UCCGGCAGGGCCGGGGGCACCAGCAAGUCCCAUGGCACCAGGAGAUCCGGGCUCACCACGGUCUCCCUAAAGAAUGGUGAAAAAAGGCAGAUGCAGGUCAUUGCAGUGCUUGUAAUUGGCCUGUUCAAACCUUACCUCACGUCCAGCCUCUCCCUGAGGUCCAGUCAUA